rnacentral:misc_RNA from 1 species
GCAAACUUGGUCAUUUAGAGGAAGUAAAAGUCGUAACAAGGUCUCCGUUGGUGAACCAGCGGAGGGAUCAUUAUUGAGUGUUACAACUCCCAAACCCUAUGUGAAUCUUACCAUCGUUGCUUCGGCGGCACUGCCUCGGCGGCGCCGCCGGAGGCCCGAAACUCUUGCUUUUUCAGUGGUAUUAUCUGAGUGGCAUAAGCAAAAUAAAAUCAAAACUUUCAACAACGGAUCUCUUGGUUCUGGCAUCGAUGAAGAACGCAGC